rnacentral:lncRNA from 1 species
AAUGAAAAGCGUUACACUAACGGGUUCACGGAAGAAAUGGAACUGAUGGUCACACAGAUUUAUGGAGGCAGACAUCCAAACCUAGAUUGGACCUCCAGGAGAGACGAGUGUGGCCACUGGGAUGUGCACAUUUAUGGACUUAAAGGGGAGCUGUGCAGUGCAGACACAGAAACCUACAUCUACAUGCAGGUGCCCCAACCAACCUUCUUAUCAAGCCUCUCUUCCACCGCUACCACCUCUUAGCGAGCCUCUGGUGGGACGGGUUCAUCCUCUGGCUCUGUCUGUGCUGAGACUUAAUUAUGAUAUGCCACAGCAACGUCAGCCCCAAGUAUUGGCUGAGAUGGAGUCAACUUUAGCAGCAGUGAUGCAGCAUCAUAAUGCACAGUACGUAAGUCUUGUUUGUAUGUGUAUGUACUUGUAACAGUAUAUUGUUCAUAUGUUGCGUUUGUUCCUAGAAAGUCUGUCAUUUACCAGUUUGAAACGGCACUGGGUUCAUUCCAUUAACUGGCUUUGGACAACGUGAUGUCAUAUGCUUUUAUUGCCAGAUCUAACCUAAGCCAUGCACAUGUUGGAUUAUUUGUUGCACAUGCAGCCCAUGUCCAGUCAGUCUGUGAAGAUGUCCUGGUCAGUUCUUUACAGGUCUGUGUGGUAGUUGGUUGUUUAGGCUAUAGACUAGUUCACAUUUGUGUCACGGUGGACAUGAAUGAGUGAGGUGCCAAAAGACUCAACGCUGAUAAUAUUUCAUCUUCUAUAUUUGCAUAAAUCAAAUUU